GUUCCGCAUGGGCUAAGCUGCCCGUUCCUCAUCUUUCUCCUCCCGCUCGUUCCGUGAUCUCCCGUUGUUCCAAGCUUCCAGAGCAGAAUUUCAGCCAAAGAAUAAAUUACUGAUACUGGAAAAAAAAAAAGAAAAACAUUUUCAUUUCUUGAAUUUGUUCUGCGUUGUGGAAAGUCGUCAGAUUGGUCAUUGGCAAAAUCACAUGAAAUUGAUUCUGAGUCUUUGAAUCAAGAUGGCUGUUUGGGAAGGUCGAGAUCUCUUGCAAGGCUUAAUGCCCAGAAGGAAUUCUUGAGGGCAACUGCUCUUUUGUCUGAUAGGACAUUUUGCACUGAAGAAUCCAUUCCUGAAGCCUUCAAUAAGUUCUUGACUUUGUACCCAAAGUUCCAAUGUUCAGAAACAAUUGACCAAUUGAGACUUGACUUUGUACGGGUUGUUUUCUUAUUUUCAAACGCUACAUUAUUGGGAUU